GCCCAAGUGGUGGAAUUGGUAGACACGCUACCUUGAGGUGGUAGUGGCAAUAGCUGUGCCGGUUCGAGUCCGGCCUUGGGCACCA
rnacentral:tRNA from 1 species